UUCAGGUAUCUAUGGUAAAUGACGUUUAGACGAGACAGUUGGUUACGAAAAGGCGCAAAUUAACCAAGAUGAAUAAAUCAAUUAACAAAUAAAAUUGAAAGGUACAUAUAGGUUGAUUAAGGAAUAAUGUAAUUGUUCUCUUUAUUGAUUUCUGCCGCCUCGCUGAUGAAUAAGACUAUCGUAUAUUGAAGAUUAUUUCAAUACUACUGGGGCAUCUUGGACUUUUACAGAUUGACUCACAAACAAGGGAGAUUGAGAAGUUCAUUUUGAUCCUAGCGAUGACAACAGGAGAUGUCUGACCUGGUAUCCUUCCUCAAUUUGGUUUGCUUUCCGCACAUGUAAACCAUGGAAUGUUACAUUCUACAGGUUCAGAUUGUCCCACAAAUGAGAAGGAAUUGCAGUUAAUUUCAGUGCUACUGAAAGAACCUAUGCUUUUGACGUUUUCAUCUUGCAACAUUAUGCAGUUAAUUUAUGCCGUAACAAUGGAAGGUAAUUGGAAAUUAAUUAAUUUGGAAGCGACUGGAAUAACAAAUUGCCUGCAGUGGUAUCCCUCCUAGAUUUGGUUUGCUCAUCACACUGGCAGACUUUAGAACGCCACUUUCUACAAGGUUAUACAACAACCGAGAGAGAAUUAAUGUUCAGUUUGGUUAUACUGAAACAGUCAAGGUCUACAUGGGUGUGGUCUUUCGUAGAUU